rnacentral:rRNA from 1 species
AGUGAACGCUGGCGGUAGGCCUAACACAUGCAAGUCGAACGGCAGCACAGUAAGAGCUUGCUCUUACGGGUGGCGAGUGGCGGACGGGUGAGGAAUACAUCGGAAUCUACUUUUUCGUGGGGGAUAGCGUAGGGAAACUUACGCUAAUACCGCAUACGACCUACGGGUGAAAGCAGGGGAUCUUCGGACCUUGCGCGAUUGAAUUAGCCGAUGUCGGAUUAGCUAGUUGGCGGGGUAAAGGCCCACCAAGGCGACGAUCCGUAGCUGGUCUGAGAGGAUGAUCAGCCACACUGGAACUGAGACACGGUCCAGACUCCUACGGGAGGCAGCAGUGGGGAAUAUUGGACAAUGGGCGCAAGCCUGAUCCAGCCAUACCGAGUGGGUGAAGAAGGCCUUCGGGUUGUAAAGCCCUUUUGUUGGGAAAGAAAAGCAGCAGGUUAAUACCCCGCUGUUCUGACGGUACCCAAAGAAUAAGCAACGGCUAACUUCGUG